rnacentral:rRNA from 1 species
UACGGGGGGGGUAAGGGUUGUUCGGAAUUACUGGGCGUAAAGGGCUCGUAGGCGGCCACCUAAGUCAGACGUGAAAUCCCUCAGCUUAACUGGGGAACUGCGUCUGAUACUGGAUGGCUUGGAUCCGGAAGAGGGAUGCGGAAUUCCAGGUGUAGCGGUGAAAUGCGUAGAUAUCUGGAGGAACACCGGUGGCGAAGGCGGCAUCCUGGGCCGGUAUUGACGCUGAGGAGCGAAAGCCAGGGGAGCAAACGGG